rnacentral:rRNA from 1 species
CCUUGUACUGAGGGAUAGCCUUUGGAAACGAAGAUUAAUACCUCAUAGUAUUACAACAUCGCAUGGUGAUGUAAUUAAAGGUUACGGUACAAGAUGAGUAUGCGUCCUAUUAGCUAGAUGGUGUGGUAACGGCAUACCAUGGCAACGAUAGGUAGGGGUCCUGAGAGGGAGAUCCCCCACACUGGUACUGAGACACGGACCAGACUCCUACGGGAGGCAGCAGUGAGGAAUAUUGGACAAUGGAGGCAACUCUGAUCCAGCCAUGCCGCGUGCAGGAAGACUGCCCUAUGGGUUGUAAACUGCUUUUGUACGGGAAGAAACCGCUCUACGCGUAGAGCCUUGACGGUACCGUAAGAAUAAGCAUCGGCUAACUCCGUGCCAGCAGCCGCGGUAAUACGGAGGAUGCAAGCGUUAUCCGGAAUCAUUGGGUUUAAAGGGUCCGUAGUGGGCCGGUCAGUCAGAGGUGAAAUCCUGCAGCUCAACUGUAGAACUGCCUUUGAUACUGCCGGUCUUGAAUCGUUGUGAAGUGGUUAGAAUAUGUAGUGUAGCGGUGAAAUGCAUAGAUAUUACAUAGAAUACCGAUUGCGAAGCAGAUCACUAACAGCGUAUUGACACUGAUGGACGAAAGCGUAGGUAGCGAACGGGAUUAGAUACCCCGGUAGUCUACGCCGUAAACGAUGGAUACUAGCUGUCCGGCUUCGGCUGGGUGGCUAAGCGAAAGUGAUAAGUAUCCCACCUGGGGAGUACGUUCGCAAGAAUGAAACUCAAGGAAUUGACGGGGGCCCGCACAAGCGUGGAGCAUGUGGUUUAAUUCGAUGAUAC